UUUUACUUUGACAGGUGAUGUUUGGCUUUGCCAUGCUCAGGAUUACAAUGAUCUAUCCAUUAAAACAAAAAAAAAAUCUAUAGAUUCAUUCCGUGCAAUGAUCGAUCUCACAAACGUCUUCCUUUUUACUGAUAGGCCAGCUACUCCUGAAGAGCAGUACUGCUAGCACUAGACGUUAGGACCGACAUGGUGACAUUAUUGCACGGAGCUGCCGACCUGAGGCUGCUUUGCCUAAAGCGACGAAGUGCAAAGACCAAAAGCGUCUCCCGCAUUCAUGCCCUGCGAGGAUGCAGGGGAGAAGGGUUCCCUUGAACACAGAAUGCAGGAGAACACUGCAACCACGGUGGAUAACUAGGGAAAUGAAUGCUUGCCAUGUCAUCAUCCAACUAACUUGGGCCCCUAGUAGAGGUAGAAGCUUUGUCCUCCUGCUGCGACAGCACCAAACUCUUCCUCGUCAAACAGGAUGGCAGGUCAUGGAGCUGAUGAGCAAGUGUUCUUGGAACUGAACAAACUGGUUAUGUGGCCGGCACUUCCGUCGGCUUCACUUCAUUACGGAACUGUGUGGUCCUUGCGGUGGAGCAACGUGGUGACGUGCAUGCGCCCGUGUUUAAUCUGCACACGACAAAUCCUAAUGAAAAAUAGUACUCCCUUCAUUCCAAAUUGUAGGUCAUUUUAGUUUUUUUAAAUUCGUAGGUAUUGUUAUGCAUCUAGAUAUAGUGUAUGUCUAGAUGUAUAAUAAUAUCUAUAAACCUAGAAAAAUCAAAACGACCAGUAAUUUGGAACGGAAGGAGUAGCAUUUACCAACACUUUUCCACUGAAAAGGACACAAUAUAUGUGAUCCUGCAAGAACCAUGUUGUUCCAUUUACAUUCGUUCAAGAAAAAACGUUGUGCCA